AUAUUACCUGGCAGGAGAGCGAUUGUGUGAGGCUUAUCCCUUGCUCUCCAGAUAUGCCAACCCUGUCAUUUCUCCAGCUGUGAGAAACUCAACUACAUAUUUUGUGGUAGUGGGAACCAAUGGUCACACUCUUUUCUG
rnacentral:snRNA from 1 species